GGGGCUUACUACAAAGGUGGGGCUGAAAACAUUCCCACAUACUACAUGGGUGGGGCUUACUACAAAGGUGGGGCUGAAAACAUUCCCACUUACUACAUAGGUGGGGCUGAAAACAUUCCCACAUACUACAUAGGUGGGGCUUACUACAAAGGUGGGGCUGAAAACAUUCCCACAUACUACAUGGGUGGGGCUGAAAACAUUCCCACA
rnacentral:lncRNA from 1 species